GUUGUCCAUUUUGUAAUGGUGAGUAAGAGGUGAAAUAUAUUUAUUAAAGACAAUGUACCUGCAUGCCUUUUUAAUGGUGUGGAUGGAUUUCACAUAAUACGAGACUAAUAGGUUGGGAUGGUUGGGGGGGGGGGGGAUAAAGAAAUUGAGAAAAAUUGACCCCCAAAAAAUAGAGAAUAUAGUGCAUAAAAUUAAAGACACAGAUAACUCUUUAUAUUCAAAGUUAACAAAAAUCCAAAUACGAAGUUUCAAGGGGACUGAACAAAACAUUCACAUUUCAACAGAUUUUUUCAAUUUAAUGUUUAACCUUUCAUUUAUAUACAUGAUGUGGACAGUAGUAUAUAAAAAAAUGUGGGAUGAUACGCCAAUUAGAAAUCUUUAUAAGCCGCACAACAAAAUGACACAGUCACACGUACGGGCUUCACAAUGAACAUGCCCAUACAAUACAGUAAGUAAAGGCCGCGGAUACAACUGUAAAUAAUUUCAAACGAGAAAUUAAUCGAAUCUAUUUAUGUACAAAAUAUAUACCAGCAACAAACGAAGUGUUGUAAACUUGACUUCUAUUGUUUCACUUUUUGUACAAUUAUAGACUAUAAUUUUUGAUAAAUCAAUCCAUAGUUUGAUUUUCAAAUCUCAAAUAAUAACUGAUGAGGAAAAUUUCCAACCCUAUUAUCUAUGAUGAGUUUACUAUUAGACACAUUUUUCUUCAGGGCUGUUCAUUGUUACCACAUGAGAAAAACGUAGUUAUAUAUCAUUUUGUUUUAGGUACAUGUGUCAAUGGAGGGAGAGUUUUCAGAGAUGACGAACAUUUCACAUGCGAUGAUGGAUGUAAUGGAUGUACCUGCCACUCUACCACACUUAUGAUGUGUUACAUGCAGGAACCUCCAGAAUUAUGCAAAGGUUAUAAGGAACAAAAACGAAACACUUUGAGAGAAAUACUAGAAGAAUGAAUAUCUCGUUAAUCCUGUUAUCAUAUUAUUGUUU
rnacentral:lncRNA from 1 species